AUGUACAAGAAAGGUGAAGGAAGGGAUCGACUUCUAGUUGGCACCUACGUCGACGAUCUAUUGAUAACUAGAGCAGAUGAAGAGGUGAUUGCAAAGUUCAAGCUACAAAUGAAGGAGCUUUUCAGGAUGGACGAUCUAGGGCCAAUGAGUUACUACCUCGGGAUCGGGGUACAUCAAAAGACGAAGGGGAUCACAGUAUGCCAAGAGGCAUAUGCAAAGAAGGUACUUGAAAGCCGUGACAUGAAAGAUUGCAAUCACGUUUUCGCUUCAAUGGAACCUCGUCUUGAGCUGAGCAAGAAGGAGAUGGUGAAACUACUCUGCUACAGUGGUAGUGACAAGGAAGGAGUUGUUGACGACCGUAAGGGUAUCUCGGGCGUGAGCUGGCUGUCACGAAAGCAGUAA
rnacentral:rRNA from 1 species